GCGGUGGACAGGGCGCGGAGCGGCCGCCUCUCGCCGUCUGGCCCGGCUCAGCCGCCUCAGCUCGCCGCGGAGGAAAGCACGUGCUUCCCUCGCACUCUCGUGGAGCUUACAGACCUUACCAGUGUUCUUGGAGCUGCGUACCAAUGGGCUGCACUAUUAGUGGAUGCAGAUGGCAGUACUUAGACAUCAGCCUACAUGAGUAGUUGCACUGAGACCUGGAGCUGGCGCCUGGAGUGAAGUGCUGCCAUUUGGCACUCUUGUCUUGGAAAUCCCACCAUGAACAAGUGCCAGCACACAUCUGCUGUGUCAGAAGCUGCAAUUGGAGACCUUCACUAUCGUCAUACCUUGGCUGCAGAAAGAGUUGCAGAUGGCAGUCACAAUGUAAUGGACUCACUUUUGUGCUGUCUCUGUGAGAUUUAGUCCCGGUAGAUCUGUCAUCUAUUUCCAAGGCCAUAACUUUACUUCUGGCUGUUGAAAAUUAAUUUUGUUGUCCUAUCACAUAUUUACCAGCCAUGUGCAGAACUUCUUUGCAGUAGUGAAUCAUUCCAGUUUGGACAUGGCAACAUUUGUUCCUAGGUUCAAUUUGUGUUUGACUCUUUUGCUCCGUAACUCUUCUUGCUUUGCAAAUCUUUAAUAUGAAUCAGGAAGAAAUGCUUCUGCUGAUGGAAAAGAAUGUCACAGGAGAACUUUGCAAAAUUUAAAGAAGUUUUGCUGCUAUUUCUGGUAUUUAAAUUCCUGGGUACACACAGAUGUAACGUAGAGCUGUCUUAAGUUGUUCUGAAAGACCUUGAGUCUCUUACGGGCCUCAGGUACCCACUGUGUUAGGAUGAGUGUGUUGAAGGUUGCCUCCAUGCACCUCCAGCUGCACUUGGUGUGCUCAUACAGUUGAGAAUCUGCUAAAAACGUAACCUAGCGUUUAUCUCAGACUUGAAGCCUGUUGAAAAUGGCAGAAAGAAUAUUUUUGCUUGCUGCUUCUAGGGAAGUUGCCAUGAUUAGAAUACACAUAACAAUAUUUCUUUGUUUAACUUUAUUCUACAUUUGGACAUGGAAAAGCAUAAAAAAGAGAAGGAUAUUAAAAGACUGCAUAUUGCUUUUGUUAUUAUUUUUAUCAGAUACUGCACUGUUUCUGUUCAAGCCCAUCUAGCUAACAAUCAUGUGAAAUAAAUGUUUUCUGGUUUUCUGUCACAGGAUUUCUAUAUAGCAUUCAGUGGCUGCUCCUUAACUUUGGGACUUAUGGUGGCAUUUUCUGCAUUUCUGCUGUGUGCUUUUCCAGUGGAGACUCAGAAAAGCCAAGAGAUUCUGUUUCCCCCACAAACAUAAAACUGAUGUAGGGCUCUCCAAGAUCCUGGCCAUGCACAGGGGAAAGGAUUAGAAAGAAAGCAUGAUGUGGUCGAAAGAGAUGUGCUGGGUAUUGUGUCUUUAGGAGAGACUGUUCCCAUUGGGAGACAAAAGUACAAGUGGAAAAGCUCAUGCAUGGGAACCCUGUGCUGCAGACAGAUCUUUUUGUUUUACAUUUUUGAAUUCAGGAUGCCUAUUCUCUGAUACCUUGCACAACACGAGAAGGGCUACAAGAGGCUGAAAAGAACCAGCAGGGAAUAAUUAGAAAGGAAGAAGAAAGGAUGUUAGAAAAAGAAAAUGCAGAGGAGGAGGGAAAGCCUGCCUCUAUUUCAAAGCAAUCUUCCCUCUGACUGUGAGGAAAGGUUGGUGUGUCUGAGCACGCUCUGUAAUUUGCUGAAACUCACAUCCUGUAAUUUAGCCACUAGGUGUGUUUGUAUGGAAAUACAGAACUAAAAGCAAUUCAGAGUAUGUCAGGAAGUUGAAAUGGUGUUUGCAUUUCUUGGGACUCUUUGUCCAGUUGGAGUACCCUUAACCUGUUUGGGAAUGCAGGCUUGGCAAAAAUCAUUAGCAGAAAAAGGAAAAAUUACUAUUUUCCUUUCAGAGCUUCUCAAUCAUUAGGGAGCUGUACUGGAAGUGUUAAUGUACUGCUAUUUGAGAAGCUUGUUCAGGACCUGCCACCAAAAUGCAGUGACUGAAAAGCCAUAAAAAGCCAUAAAAAGCCACUUUUCAAUCUAGGAAUAUUCAGCAGGAGUAUUGAGAUACCUCUGCUUUGUAGUAGGGUGUACAGUCAUUUGUCUCAGAUUUUUGUUGGUGGUGUUUUGUUUGUUUUCUUUUUUCUUCAGAAGCAAUUCUCGCACUUUCUUACUGAAUUUAAUAUUUUUGGUGGGGCAGCUAGCUGACUUCCACCUCCUUUUGCAGUAUGGAAACCAUGGCCAUGGUCCCCUCAAACCUGACACUGAUUUUUCAGGCCUUGGCAGCGUCUGCAGUUGGAUGAGUUGUUGAUCUGAUAUUUCUGUUACCAGUUGUGUGUACAGAGCCCAUGCUUUGGAUUCUUUCAGAGCUAGAUCCACACCACGCAAGGUGCUUGGUAAAGCACAAAGCAAAAGUCAAGGUUUGGAGAUGGUGAUGGAAGUACUAGACAAGAAGCUAGAAAGGGAAAUAUAGCAAAACAGUGAGAUCGCAUCUGUCAGGUCAACAAGUAAUGUUUGCCUCCACCUCAUUUCCAUUGAUGUUUCCAUCUCAAUGCAUCUCACUCACUGGUGUUGCUGGUGGAUAUGCUGAAGCUUUAAAAUAAUGUCACCUACAGUAAUCAGCAGCAGCCUGAAAUAUCCAGCCCGGACACAGUGGGUAAUGCAGUUCAUUUAAAGACAUCUGGCUCAAACAGAUCACACCCAAACCAGAAUCAAGCUUUGAGUGGCUUAUUAUUUGAGGGGAUGUUUGUGUAGGAACACUCCGGAGAUUUUCCAGGUACCUGUGUACACAGGCAUGGCAUGUUUAAUCAAAAAUUAAUGUUAAAUUUUGUUUUGUUGUUACUAGAACUGUUUCUUCACUGAUCACUUUUCCUGGCGACCAUGAGAGGAUAGUGUUAAAAACGAUCUUGUGGGAAGUUUUGAAGGAAUUUAAUCAAAGGUUGUUGUUGCCCGCUCAGUGUAUCUGCAGAAACAGAAAU